rnacentral:rRNA from 1 species
UUGAAAGGGAAACGAUUGAAGUCAGUCGUGCUGGCGCGAAAUCAACCCUCUCGUCGAGAGGUCACAUGGCGUGGCGAGCCUCAAAACCGUCACGAAGCGUGAACUCUUGGCGAAAAGGAGCACUUUUGUGUCCGCUGGUUAACAUCAAUUUCGAACGUCAUAAAAAGGCUGGAGGGAUGUGGCUCCUUCGGGAGUGUUAUAACCCUUGGCGGAAUGUGACGAUUGGGAUUGAGGUUUGCAACGAAUACCUUUAGGGCAGUUCCUUCUGGUCUCUUGUUGACGUUCAGGUGGCGACAGCUUGCUGACGUUGUUUGAAUAGUUGGCGAAUAGAUUGGAAUGUGAAUUAAUUCGUUAAGGAUGUUGACGUAA